rnacentral:rRNA from 1 species
AGCAGCCGCGGUAAUUCCAGCUCCAAUAGCGUAUAUUAAAGUUGUUGCAGUUAAAAAGCUCGUAGUUGAAUUUCGAGAUCAGUACGCUGGUCGUGCCUUCGGUAUGCACUGGUGUCACUGGUUUCUCCCUUCUGAAGAACCGUCAUGUCAUUAAGUUGGUGUGGCGGGGAAUCAGGACUGUUACUUUGAAAAAUUAGAGUGUUUAAAGCAGGCUCGCGCUUGAAUACAUUAGCAUGGAAUAAUGAAAUAGGACGUUUGACCCUAUUUUGUUGGUUUCUAGGAUCGACGUAAUGAUUAAUAGGGAUAGUUGGGGGCAUUAGUAUUCAAUUGUCAGAGGUGAAACUCUUGGAUUUAUUGAAGACUAACUACUGCGAAAGCAUUUGCCAAGGAUGUUUUCAUUAAUCAAGAACGAAAGUUAGGGGAUCGAAGACGAUCAGAUACCGUCGUAGU